rnacentral:rRNA from 1 species
UACGUAGGGUGCAGGCGUUAAUCGGAAUUACUGGGCGUAAAGCGUGCGCAGGCGGUUUGCUAAGACAGGUGUGAAAUCCCCGGGCUUAACCUGGGAACUGCGCUUGUAACUGGCAAGCUAGAGUGUGGCAGAGGGGGGUGGAAUUCCCUGUGUAGCGGUGAAAUGCGUAGAGAUGGGGGAGAACACUCGUGGCGAAGGCGGCCAGCUGGACCAGUUCUGACGCUGAGACGCGAAAGCGUGGGGAGCAAACAGG